rnacentral:rRNA from 1 species
ACGAACGCUGGCGGCGUGCUUAACCCCUGCCAGUCGAACGGAAAGGCCCUGCUUGCAGGGUACUCGAGUGGCGAACGGGUGAGUAACACGUGGGUGAUCUGCCCUGCACUUCGGGAUAAGCCUGGGAAACUGGGUCUAAUACCGGAUAGGAGCCAUUUUUAGUGUGAUGGUUGGAAAGUUUUUUCGGUGUAGGAUGAGCUCGCGGCCUAUCAGCUUGUUGGUGGGGUAAUGGCCUACCAAGGCGGCGACGGGUAGCCGGCCUGAGAGGGUGGACGGCCACAUUGGGACUGAGAUACGGCCCAGACUCCUACGGGAGGCAGCAGUGGGGAAUAUUGCACAAUGGGCGCAAGCCUGAUGCAGCGACGCCGCGUGGGGGAUGACGGCCUUCGGGUUGUAAACUCCUUUCGCUAGGGACGAAGCUUUUUGUGACGGUACCUAGAUAAGAAGCACCGGCUAACUACGUG